GACACCGGUGAGGCGGCCGGCGGUGGCGGACUCUUAAUCCGCGGGUUCGGGGUUCGAGUCCCUGGCGGCGCACCA
rnacentral:tRNA from 1 species